UACGUAGGGGGCAAGCGUUGUCCGGAUUUAUUGGGCGUAAAGCGCGUGUAGGCGGCCAGGUAGGUCCGUUGUGAAAACUCGAGGCUCAACCUCGAGACGCCGAUGGAAACCAUCUGGCUAGAGUCCGGAAGAGGAGAGUGGAAUUCCCGGUGUAGCGGUGAAAUGCGCAGAUAUCGGGAAGAACACCCGUGGCGAAGGCGGCUCUCUAGUACGGUACUGACGCUGAGACGCGAAAGCGUGGGGAGCGAACAGG
rnacentral:rRNA from 1 species